GCCCUUACUCCUACGGGAGGCAGCAGUGAGGAAUAUUGCGCAAUGGGGGAAACCCUGACGCAGCAACGCCGCGUGGGUGAAGAAGGCCUUCGGGUUGUAAAGCUCUUUCGCACGCGACGAUGAUGACGGUAGCGUGAGAAGAAGCCCCGGCUAACUUCGUGCCAGCAGCCGCGGUAAUACGAAGGGGGCGAGCGUUGUUCGGAAUUACUGGGCGUAAAGGGCGCGUAGGCGGCCCAUUUUGUCAGGCGUGAAAGCCCCGGGCUCAACCUGGGAAUUGCGCUUGGGACGGGUGGGCUAGAGUUCGGGAGAGGAGAGUGGAAUUCCCAGUGUAGAGGUGAAAUUCGUAGAUAUUGGGAAGAACACCGGUGGCGAAGGCGGCUCUCUGGACCGAGACUGACGCUGAGGCGCGAAAGCGUGGGGAGCAAACAGGAUUAGAUACCCUGGUAGUCCACGCUGUAAACGAUGUGUGCUAGACGUUGGGGAGCCUAGCUCUUCGGUGUCGCCGCUAACGCUUUAAGCACACCGCCUGGGGAGUACGGCCGCAAGGUUAAACUCAAUGAUUGACGGAGGC
rnacentral:rRNA from 1 species